UACGAAGGGGGCUAGCGUUGUUCGGAAUCACUGGGCGUAAAGCGCACGUAGGCGGAUCUUUAAGUCAGGGGUGAAAUCCCGAGGCUUAACCUCGGAACUGCCUUUGAUACUGGGGAUCUCGAGUCCGGGAGAGGUGAGUGGAACUGCGAGUGUAGAGGUGAAAUUCGUAGAUAUUCGGCAAGAACACCAGUGGCGAAGGCGGCUCACUGGCCCGGAACUGACGCUGAGGUGCGAAAGCGUGGG
rnacentral:rRNA from 1 species